UACGUAGGGUGCAAGCGUUGUCCGGAAUUAUUGGGCGUAAAGAGCUCGUAGGUGGUCUGUUGCGUCGGCUGUGAAACCCCGAGGCUCAACCUCGGGCCUGCAGCCGAUACGGGCAGACUAGAGUUCGGCAGGGGAGACUGGAAUUCCUGGUGUAGCGGUGAAAUGCGCAGAUAUCAGGAGGAACACCGGUGGCGAAGGCGGGUCUCUGGGCCGAUACUGACACUGAGGAGCGAAAGCGUGGGGAGCGAACAGG
rnacentral:rRNA from 1 species